GGAUAUGAGGGUGAUCUGGCUUGUGACACCUGUCGUCCCAUUGAUCACCAGAGUUGAUGCAGCUGAUCUGGCUGGCUAGGUGGGUGUUCCCUACCUCCCUCACUGCUCCAUAUGUAUCCCCUGCCAUAGCAAGCUGCACAAAGGGUCAAAGAGGAAGGCCUUCUGUUGGUAUGCUUCUGGAUUCUGCUUCUG
rnacentral:snRNA from 1 species